rnacentral:lncRNA from 1 species
AUGGCCAGAAUUGAGGGAGCUCUUCGGCUCUGUCGGCAGAGGAGCAGCAUCUCCCUUACUAGCAGUAAAGCAGCUCAUAUCCAUGCCGUGGCUGUUUUGUCUUCGUCUGAUUUGCUGCCUUUUCAGUUCUUCAAUUCAUGUUUAUUGAGUUUGCUUUUAAUGGCUCUGCUGAGGACUACUCUGCUGUUGAUACUGUGGAUUGCUACUCUUUGUAACAGCAGAAAUUCUGAUUCCCUUCAAGCUGCUAUUGAUUUUGGCAAAGAGAGAUUUCACCUCCCCUGUUUGCAAUGCACUGUGCUCUUUAAAUUGUGCCAUCAACAGCCACCCAUUAUCUGCUGCUCAUCCGGCAGGUCGCUGCACUGA